rnacentral:rRNA from 1 species
UACGAAGGGGGCUAGCGUUGUUCGGAUUUACUGGGCGUAAAGCGCACGUAGGCGGAUCGUUAAGUCGGGGGGUGAAAUCCUGGAGCUCAACUCCAGAACUGCCUUCGAUACUGGCGAUCUUGAGUCCGGAAGAGGUGAGUGGAACUCCUAGUGUAGAGGUGAAAUGCGUAGAUAUCGUAAGGAAGACCAGUGGCGAAGGCGGGUCUCUGGACAGUUCCUGACGCUGAGGCACGAAGGUCAGGGGAGCAAACGGG